AUUAUAUGGGUGGCUACGUUCUUUGAAAACAUAAACUCCUCCACUAUCAAAUGUUACAAUAUAUAACUGCAGACCUUUCAGAUUUCUAAAACUUUCUCUUAAUUUUUAUAUCUACUCACCCAAAUGGAAUUCACCCAAAUGAAAUUCCACUCUUCAGUAUCCUGUUUUCUCCAUUCUAAUUCUUCUGCGCUUCUGCUUUUCAAAGAGUACGAAUUUUUAUGUUCCUCCAUCUCAAUUCACCGUCAAAUGCGUCUGCCACCACCGUGCUAUUGCCAAACAAUGACAAGACCAUUGUGUUGCACCGACGACAUCUCUGAUUCUCCAUAGCAUCACAUCACAAAGCAUCAACGCAUCACACAUCAAUCACUGCAAGAUCCGCUUCACCUACUUGUCGUCACCGAAGAUAUUUAUGAAGGAAAAAAUCACGAGUUUCUGUCAAUAUAAGGGAAUGUGAAUGUGUUUUAGAUUGAUAGUGUUGUUUUUAAGCGACUACCAGCCGAUGCUUACAUCAACAUAUUUGGAAAAACUAUCAAGCAUCACAGCAAACACAACAUUCAACAAUAUCCUUUCUAUUUUUCAUCUACAACAAGCAUAUCCUUUGAAAAAAACGCAUAGGAAGAAAAUAGGGAAGACUCAAAGGCACAAGAAUGAGGUUUAUACCACACGAUUGAUUUCCUAUGUGCCAUAAACAUGGUGUGAUGCAUAGAGAUCUAAAGCCUGGAAAUUUUUUGUUUGCGAAUAAGGAAACAACGACUUUGAAAACCAUCGAUUUUGGUUUGUGGGUGUUCUUUAAACCAGGUGAAAGAUUUAAUUAGAUUGUUGGAAGUCCCUAACUUAACAAGGUUUGAAUGUUUAUCGAGGAAUCAUCCAUGAAGUAUUAAUCCUUCUGCCCAUUUUCACGAGUUAUUCGUGCUGUCUAUACAACUAAUUUUUCUUGUGUGAGAAGGUUAUUGUCGAGCAUUUGUCAGCAGAAGAGGCAGUGGGACUAAAAGAGGGAUUCAAGCUUAUGGAUACAAGCAACAAAUGCAAGAUCAACAUUGAUGAAGUGGUGCUUAGACCAUCUUCAAUGGUAGUUUCUUCUAUUGAGUUCUCCACAUGUACCAUUAAUUUAAUAAUUAAAUAUUUAAAAAAUUUGCCAUGUCAUAAUAGAGUUGCAUUGCAAUGCAACAACUAAAAGAUUGUAGUACCCAAUUAAAUCAAGUUAUGAGGUAAAGUUGUGGGACCCAUAUCAGAUUUUUAUUAAAGUUAAAAUUAAAUAAAUUCUUUUACUAUGAUGUGGCUUAGUGGGUCCCAUAAAGAACUCAAAUGUAAGUUGCACCAUUGGAGAUGCUCUUAGAAAUCUGCAGUGAUGUUCCAGGAUUUAUCAUAAAGCUUGGUUUUAGUUUUGUUAUUGUUUUAUCAUCUGUGACAUCUCUUGAGUUGGCUACAUGUUGAUUUAGGUGGUUGGUAUGUUUUUUCAUCUUAAAAUACAAUUUUGUUAUUUUAAAUUGGUUAUUGUUUGCAGUUACUUACAAGUUGAGUUGCUUUAAAUUCGUUGGUUUAUGGAUUAAUAUAUAAAGUUUA